CCAGACCAACUUUCUCGCCCCCUCGCUCUCUGUCGGCAGAGGUCCUGCGCCUCUUGGAAAGGGAGCUGCGCUCUGCCCCUCAGCCCCUCUGAGCAUUUCCACCAUGGCCUGGCAAGAACCUGCUCGUACAGAAGUGUCACGUCCCCCUUUGGCAAGUUUGUGUCUCCUCAGCAGGGCACCAGACAAGGGAGAAUCCAGGCCCCAAAGGUUUUCACACUUUUUACUUUAUUUUUUCCUCAGUAUAGUUGCAUCCAGUCCGAUGGAGUCAAACCUCUCUCUGAGUGUUAAAGAUCUGUCUCAGUAUAACAAGAACAAAUGGAGCUCAAAUAAAGUAAAAUAAACUCCAAACAUAAAGUUACGUAACAAAAAU